rnacentral:rRNA from 1 species
UGCCAGCCGCCGCGGUAAUACGAAGGGGGCAAGCGUUGUUCGGAAUUAUUGGGCGUAAAGCGUAUGUAGGUGGUCUUUCAAGUCAGGCGUGCAAGCCCUCGGCUCAACCGGGGAAUUGCGCUUGAAACUGAGAGACUUGAGUGUAGGAGAGGAAAGCGGAAUUCCCAGUGUAGCGGUGAAAUGCGUUGAUAUUGGGAAGAACACCGGUGGCGAAGGCGGCUUUCUGGCCUGCUACUGACACUGAGAUACGAAAGCCAGGGGAGCAAAUGGGAUUAGAUA